GACACUUUGGCCGAGCGGUUAAGGCGUUAGACUCAAGCUUACAGCUUUCUCUUGUCACAAGAGAGCAUUCUAAUAUCGCAAGAUGCAAGGGUUCGAAUCCCUUAGGUGUCA
rfam:Sugiyamaella lignohabitans strain CBS 10342 chromosome B, complete sequence.